ACGUGGAAAGGUGAGCGAUUUCUCCUCUUCUUUUUAUUAAUUUCCUUAUGCAUGUUUUGUGAAUCAUCUCCAAUUCUCGACCGCACCUGAUUAGUUCAUCCUAGCCGUUCGUCUCCCAUCUCCUCCCUAUAAAAACCAGUAUCUCUGCCCAAGGUCGUCUCUCUUUGAUUUCUCUAGAAUUUCAGUCCUCCCACAAGCAAGAAGAGAGAUUGUGAGGGUUUCUCGGUAGCCUUCCCAAAGGUCCAUGUGACCUUAUGAACAACUUUGGAUCAGUCUCAUUUUUUGCCCCAUGCCUCAUCUAUUAAGCAAAAAGAUCCACUGAUAUGUAACCUUGUUUCGAGAUAGCAAGAUCUGGGCACAGUUUGUGGUUGAGGCAAACUGUGAGAUUACUAGGAUGGAUAUAUUUCUCUCUCUUGUUUAACUUCUACAAGAAACAACAAUGGGCAGCAUCAGUUCUGGUGGUCAGCCGACUGUUGCUCCCGAUGGUGGAGUUCCAGUAUUUUCCAACUAUUAGAAAUCUCCCAUACCACUCCCAAUCAGCUUAGCAGACAUAAUGCAGUAAUUUUGGCAUGUGGGUCUGAUCUGGAAUUAUUGUGAAUAGGCGACUUAUCUAUAGUUAAAUAACUGGAUCCUUAUCGCUCUUCUUCCUAUUCUUCUUCAGAUGAGCUUUUAGACCCAAAGGAGUCUUGGCAAGCUGAGGAAGGGUUUUGAGGUACUCUUUUGACAUCAGACAUCUUUCUCUUUGUUUUCCCUUUUGUUUAUGGUAGAAAGCAGGCUUGUAAUCUAAAAUUGUGUCAUUGAUACAAGAUCUAAAAGGUGUCAGUGCUUUAAGGUGACAUGCUGAGGUGAGAUGCAAUUCUUUUCUCCCGAUCCUCUCUGUUCAUAUUUUGGCUUUCUACCUUUUCCUCUAUUUUAUUAGAUAUCUUGGUUCCUAUUAAUAUGGCAUUGGGCAUGAUUUGGUUAAAUUCUUGAAAUUUCUUUAGAGUUUAUGUUUGGGUUAGUUGGCUGCACACCCAGUUCUCACAAGCACCUAGUUCUUGAAAUUUAAGUCAUUUUUUUUUCUCUAUAACUUGUAAUUGGCACUGAAGAUUGCGAAGUUCCUUAGAAACAGGUUAUGAAAGUCUAAAGAAUUUCAAUCUGUUGUGGUAUUAGAUGUUUGCUGAGGUGACAAUUUGCUU